rnacentral:rRNA from 1 species
CAGGCCUAACACAUGCAAGUCGAGCGGAGAUGAGGUGCUUGCACCUUAUCUUAGCGGCGGACGGGUGAGUAAUGCUUAGGAAUCUGCCAUUUAGUGGGGGACAACAUUCCGAAAGGAAUGCUAAUACCGCAUACGUCCUACGGGAGAAAGCAGGGGAUCUUCGGACCUUGCGCUAAAUGAUGAGCCUAAGUCGGAUUAGCUAGUUGGUGGGGUAAAGGCCUACCAAGGCGACGAUCUGUAGCGGGUCUGAGAGGAUGAUCCGCCACACUGGGACUGAGACACGGCCCAGACUCCUACGGGAGGCAGCAGUGGGGAAUAUUGGACAAUGGGCGGAAGCCUGAUCCAGCCAUGCCGCGUGUGUGAAGAAGGCCUUUUGGUUGUAAAGCACUUUAAGCGAGGAGGAGGCUCUCCUAGUUAAUACCUAGGAUGAGUGGACGUUACUCGCAGAAUAAGCACCGGCUAACUCUGUGCCAGCAGCCGCGGUAAU